GAGUUUGAUCGUGGCUCAGGACGAACGCUGGCGGCGUGCUUAACACAUGCAAGUCGCACGAGGACGGGAGCUUGCUCCCGAGCCGAGUGGCGGACGGGUGAGUAACACGUGACCAACCUGUCCUAGGGUGAGGGACAACCUGGGGAAACCCGGGCUAAUACCGCAUGAUGUCUCGAGGUCGCAUGGCCAUGAGAUCAAAGAGGGCCUCUGCUUGCAAGCUCUCGCCCUGGGAGGGGGUCGCGGCGUAUCAGCUAGUUGGUAGGGUAACGGCCUACCAAGGCUACGACGCGUAGCGGGUCUGAGAGGACGACCCGCCUCAUUGGGACUGAGAUACGGCCCAGACUCCUACGGGAGGCAGCAGUGGGGAAUAUUGCGCAAUGGACGAAAGUCUGACGCAGCGACGCCGCGUGUGGGAGGAAGCUCUUCGGGGGUGUAAACCACUGUCAGGAGGGAAGAAACUCGCCGGCCCGAACAGGAACGGCGAUUGACGGU
rnacentral:rRNA from 1 species